UCGAGCGGAUGAGUGGAGCUUGCUCCAUGAUUCAGCGAGCGGACGGGUGAGUAAUGCCUAGGAAUCUGCCUGGUAGUGGGGGACAACGUUUCGAAAGGAACGCUAAUACCGCAUACGUCCUACGGGAGAAAGUGGGGGAUCUUCGGACCUCACGCUAUCAGAUGAGCCUAGGUCGGAUUAGCUAGUUGGUGAGGUAAAGGCUCACCAAGGCGACGAUCCGUAACUGGUCUGAGAGGAUGAUCAGUCACACUGGAACUGAGACACGGUCCAGACUCCUACGGGAGGCAGCAGUGGGGAAUAUUGGACAAUGGGCGAAAGCCUGAUCCAGCCAUGCCGCGUGUGUGAAGAAGGUCUUCGGAUUGUAAAGCACUUUAAGUUGGGAGGAAGGGCAGUAAGUUAAUACCUUGCUGUUUUGACGUUACCAACAGAAUAAGCACCGGCUAACUUCGUGCCAGCAGCCGCGGUAAUACGAAGGGUGCAAGCGUUAAUCGGAAUUACUGGGCGUAAAGCGCGCGUAGGUGGUUCGUUAAGUUGGAUGUGAAAGCCCCGGGCUCAACCUGGGAACUGCAUCCAAAACUGGCGAGCUAGAGUAUGGCAGAGGGUGGUGGAAUUUCCUGUGUAGCGGUGAAAUGCGUAGAUAUAGGAAGGAACACCAGUGGCGAAGGCGACCACCUGGGCUAAUACUGACACU
rnacentral:rRNA from 1 species